rnacentral:lncRNA from 1 species
GGCUCUUCAUUGUCCUGGGAAGGUAUAUAUAGAGACGCCAGGCGCCUUGGUGUAGGCCACUGUUGCUACUACAUGGGAGGCCUACCUGAGAAAGUGGAGGAGGAGGAAACGGAAAUUGAGAUAGACAACAUCAAUUUGAAGGAAGAAGCCUCAAGCUCCACAGAAAGGAAGAGAAAUCAUUCUGAUCAGCCCAAUGGCUUGGACAGUGAGACGAUACAAAUCCUCAUGGAGAAGAUAAAAGCAAUCCUUCAGCAGAAUCCGGACAGGAAUAUGAAAGAGAACUCGACGAUACUAAUCUUCUACUACCACCAGCAGAAUAAAAAGAAGAAUGAAAACAGGCCAACGGCGGAUGAAGAAACCCUGGUGGAUUCUUCCAACACUUCUCCUGACAAUUCUCCAAGUAAGCCCCUGUGCCCACCUGGAGCCCAAGAUGCUGAGGCAUCUACUGUAACUCCAGGAAAAGCAAAGGCAGAAUAGUCGUUUGUGCAGGGAUCAAACAUACAACGAUGGUCCCCGCUGGACAGACCAAAGUACGCAGAUGUUGAUGAUUAAAGUACCAACAAGCAGGAAAAAGAU